UACGAAGGGGGCUAGCGUUGUUCGGAAUUACUGGGCGUAAAGCGCGCGUAGGCGGGCGUUUAAGUCAGGGGUGAAAUGCCCGGGGGCUCAACCUCGGAAACGGCCUUUGAUACUGGACGUCUGGAGUUCGGGAGAGGUGAGUGGAACUGCGAAGUGUAGAGGUGAAAUUCGUAGAUAUUCGCAAGAACACCAGUGGCGAAGGCGGCUCACUGGCCCGAUACUGACGCUGAGGCACGGAAAGCGAUGGGGAGCAAAC
rnacentral:rRNA from 1 species